rnacentral:rRNA from 1 species
GCGUCAGUCGCAGGAUGAAGCGUUGAAUUGAAGCCCGAGUAAACGGCGGCCGUAACUAUAACGGUCCUAAGGUAGCGAAAUUCCUUGUCGGUUAAAUACCGACCUGCAUGAAUGGCGUAACGAGAUGGGAGCUGUCUCGACCAGAGAUUCAGUGAAAUUGUAGUGGAGGUGAAAAUUCCUCCUACCCGCGGCAAGACGGAAAGACCCCGUGGACCUUUACUACAACUUAGCACUG